UACGUAGGGGGCAAGCGUUGUCCGGAUUUAUUGGGCGUAAAGAGCGCGUAGGCGGCUAUAUAGGUCCGCUGUGAAAACUCGAGGCUCAACCUCGAGACGUCGGUGGAAACCGUAUGGCUAGAGUCCGGAAGAGGAGAGUGGAAUUCCUGGUGUAGCGGUGAAAUGCGCAGAUAUCAGGAAGAACACCCGUGGCGAAGGCGGCUCUCUGGGACGGUACUGACGCUGAGACGCGAAAGCGUGGGGAGCGAACAGG
rnacentral:rRNA from 1 species